AGUAGGCUACAUCCUGUUGGUCAGACCGAGACAAAGUACAUCCUGCUGAUUCACAGACCAAGAUAGAGAACAUCCUGCUGAUUCACAGACCAAGAUAAAGUUCCUCCUGCUGAUUUACAGACCAAGAUAAAGUUUCUCCUGCUGAUUUACAAACACUUGUAUGGGCUGCUACUUGUGAUUAAGAACUGACUUCAAAUGAUAGCAAGAGGAUGAUUUAAGCAUACAUAACUAAACUGGAAGAACAUAUGAAGUCCAAAAUGCUAAAACAACAGACAACCCAGAUCAAGAUAAAGUAGGCUACAUCCUGUUGGUCAGAUCUUGCUGAUUCACAGACCAAGAUAGAGAACAUCCUGCUGAUUCACAGACCAAGAUAGAGAACAUCCUGCUGAAUCACAGACCAAGAUAGAGAACAUCCUGCUGAUUCACAGUCCAAGAUAAAGUUCCUUCUGCUGAUUUACAGACACUUGUAUGGGCUGCUACUUGUGAUUAAGAACUAAACUGGAAGAACAGAUGAAGUCCAAAACGCUAAAGCAACAGACAACCCAGAUUCAGAUACAAAUUGUUGCUGUUCCAGAAGUAGUGCAUUUGCCAACAUAGUAGAGUCAUUGGAGUCAUUAACUUAUGAAGAUAGAGAGUAAGCUACAUCCUAUUACUCUAGAAAAGAACAGUCUACAGACGAAUGGAACUAGCUCCUUUGGGCUUGAAAACUCCAUACCGGUAUAUCAAAAAAUAUGCAGCAAGUCAGUCUCAAGUUAUUUGAAUAGAUCAAGUAGUGAAGCAUACAGAUGGAGUAACAGGCAAGAAGUAGCGAUAUCAAGAACUGUGCAGUAAGUAUAUCCAAACCUUUAUUCUUUUG